rnacentral:rRNA from 1 species
CCUACGGGUGGCUGCAGUGAGGAAUAUUGGUCAAUGGACGAGAGUCUGAACCAGCCAAGUAGCGUGAAGGAUGACUGCCCUAUGGGUUGUAAACCUCUUUUGUCGGGGAGCAAAGAGAGUCACGUGUGACUCUUUGAGAGUACCCGAAGAAAAAGCAUCGGCUAACUCCGUGCCAGCAGCCGCGGUAAUACGUAGGUGGCAAGCGUUGUUCGGAAUAACUGGGCGUAAAGGAUGCGUAGGCGGUUAAACAAGUUAUAUGUUAAAUAUAUAGGCUUAACCUGUAGAAAGCAUAUAAAACUGUUUAACUAGAGUGCAGGAGAGGUAAGUGGAAUUCCUAGUGUAGCGGUGAAAUGCGUAGAGAUUAGGAAGAACACCAGUGGCGAAGGCGACUUACUGGACUGUAACUGACGCUGAGGCACGAGAGCAUGGGGAGCAAACAGGAUUAGAUACCCCAGUAGUC